rnacentral:rRNA from 1 species
AGCCAGACUCCUACGGGAGGCAGCAGUGGGGAAUAUUGGGCAAUGGGCGCAAGCCUGACCCAGCAACGCCGCGUGAAGGAAGAAGGCUUUCGGGUUGUAAACUUCUUUUAAGAGGGAAGAGUAGAAGACGGUACCUCUUGAAUAAGCCACGGCUAACUACGUGCCAGCAGCCGCGGUAAUACGUAGGUGGCAAGCGUUGUCCGGAUUUACUGGGUGUAAAGGGCGUGUAGCCGGGUUGACAAGUCAGAUGUGAAAUCCUGCGGCUUAACCGCAGAACUGCAUUUGAAACUGUUGAUCUUGAGUACUGGAGAGGCAGACGGAAUUCCUAGUGUAGCGGUGAAAUGCGUAGAUAUUAGGAGGAACACCGGUGGCGAAGACGGCCUGCUGGACUGCGACUGACGUUGAGGCCCGAAAGCGUGGGGAGCAAACAGGAUUAGAUACCCGAGUAU